GGCUUUAUGUCACCAUCCACAGGUUUUUUCUAGCUCUCCCUGUCUCAAAAUCUUAGUCAAUAAGCUCCUCAGGUUUCGGGCCAGCCAAUACUGCAGCCAAGCAAUGGCCCUUAUUUUGAAGGAGAUUCUACCACGAUCCAAGGAAGCCUUUGAAGAACUAUUGCCAGAAUAUGAUUGUCUUUAGGGACUAGUUCCAGCCCAAUCAGUUCUGCUUGUCCUUGAUGCCCUUUUCUCUUCUGUUUUUGGUGGAACCUGUGCCAUUCAUGGUGCUUUUGGCUGUGGGAAAACUGUUAUCAGUCAGGCACUUUCCAAGAUGGAGAGAACUUGCGAGUUUCAGUAAAUAAACUCUUAAUGGGGAAACCAACAGAAAGCUUUAUCUGCGUCAUAUAGUAAGUGAAGUCAAC